UACGGGGGGGGCAAGCGUUGUUCGGAAUUACUGGGCGUAAAGGGCGCGUAGGCGGCCUGCUAAGUCACACGUGAAAUCCCUCGGCUCAACCGGGGAACUGCGUGUGAUACUGGCGGGCUUGAAUUCGGGAGAGGGAUGCAGAAUUCCAGGUGUAGCGGUGAAAUGCGUAGAUAUCUGGAGGAAUACCGGUGGCGAAGGCGGCAUCCUGGACCGGCAUUGACGCUGAGGAGCGAAAGCCAGGGGAGCAAACGGG
rnacentral:rRNA from 1 species